GACGAACGCUGGCGGCGCGCUUAACACAUGCAAGUCGAACGGAAAGGCCUGCUUUCCCUUGUGGAUUGCGGGUACUCGAGUGGCGAACGGGUGAGUAACACGUGAGUGAUCUGCCCCCAACUUGGGUAUAAGCCUGGGAAACUGGGUCUAAUUCCCGAUAGGACUGCAGGGUGGUGCCUGUGGUGGAAAGCGAUUUUCUAGUGGUUGGGGAUGAGCUCGCGGCCUAUCAGCUUGUUGGUGGGGUAAUGGCCUACCAAGGCGGCGACGGGUAGCCGGCCUGAGAGGGUGGACGGCCACAUUGGGACUGAGAUACGGCCCAGGCUCCUACGGGAGGCAGCAGUGGGGAAUAUUGCACAAUGGGCGGAAGCCUGAUGCAGCGACGCCGCGUGGGGGAUGACGGCCUUCGGGUUGUAAACUCCUUUCGACCGCGAGGAAGCCACCUGGUUGGAAGGGUGGUGACGGUAGUGGUAGAAGAAGCACCGGCUAACUACGUG
rnacentral:rRNA from 1 species